GCUCAGAUUGAACGCUGGCGGCAGGCCUAACACAUGCAAGUCGAACGGUAACAGGAAGCAGCUUGCUGCUUUGCUGACGAGUGGCGGACGGGUGAGUAAUGUCUGGGAAACUGCCUGAUGGAGGGGGAUAACUACUGGAAACGGUGGCUAAUACCGCAUAACGUCGCAAGACCAAAGAGGGGGACCUUCGGGCCUCUUGCCAUCAGAUGUGCCCAGAUGGGAUUAGCUUGUUGGUGAGGUAACGGCUCACCAAGGCGACGAUCCCUAGCUGGUCUGAGAGGAUGACCAGCCACACUGGAACUGAGACACGGUCCAGACUCCUACGGGAGGCAGCAGUGGGGAAUAUUGCACAAUGGGCGCAAGCCUGAUGCAGCCAUGCCGCGUGUAUGAAGAAGGCCUUCGGGUUGUAAAGUACUUUCAGCGGGGAGGAAGGUGUUGUGGUUAAUAACCGCAGCAAUUGACGUUACCCGCAGAAGAAGCACCGGCUAACUCCGUGCCAGCAGCCGCGGUAAUACGGAGGGUGCAAGCGUUAAUCGGAAUUACUGGGCGUAAAGCGCACGCAGGCGGUCUGUCAAGUCGGAUGUGAAAUCCCCGGGCUCAACCUGGGAACUGCAUUCGAAACUGGCAGGCUUGAGUCUUGUAGAGGGGGGUAGAAUUCCAGGUGUAGCGGUGAAAUGCGUAGAGAUCUGGAGGAAUACCGGUGGCGAAGGCGGCCCCCUGGACAAAGACUGACGCUCAGGUGCGAAAGCGUGGGGAGCAAACAGGAUUAGAUACCCUGGUAGUCCACGCCGUAAACGAUGUCUACUUGGAGGUUGUGCCCUUGAGGCGUGGCUUCCGGAGCUAACGCGUUAAGUAGACCGCCUGGGGAGUACGGCCGCAAGGUUAAAACUCAAAUGAAUUGACGGGGGCCCGCACAAGCGGUGGAGCAUGUGGUUUAAUUCGAUGCAACGCGAAGAACCUUACCUGGUCUUGACAUCCACAGAACUUUCCAGAGAUGGACUUGGUGCCUUCGGGAACUGUGAGACAGGUGCUGCAUGGCUGUCGUCAGCUCGUGUUGUGAAAUGUUGGGGUUAAGUCCCGCAACGAGCGCAACCCUUUAUCCUUUGUUGCCAGCGGAUUCAGGUCGGGAACUCAAAGGGAGACUGCCAGUGAAUAAACUGGGAGGAAAGGUGGGUAAACUGGAGGAAGGUGGGGAUGACGUCAAGUCAUCAUGGCCCUUACGACCAGGGCUACACACGUGCUACAAUGGCGCAUACAAAGAGAAGCGACCUCGCGAGAGCAAGCGGACCUCAUAAAGUGCGUCGUAGUCCGGAUUGGAGUCUGCAACUCGACUCCAUGAAGUCGGAAUCGCUAGUAAUCGUGGAUCAGAAUGCCACGGUGAAUACGUUCCCGGGCCUUGUACACACCGCCCGUCACACCAUGGGAGUGGGUUGCAAAAGAAGUAGGUAGCUUAACCUUCGGGAGGGCGCUUACCACUUUGUGAUUCAUGACUGGGGUGAAGUCGUAACAGGG
rnacentral:rRNA from 1 species